AACGAACGCUGGCGGCAUGCCUAACACAUGCAAGUCGAACGAGACCUUCGGGUCUAGUGGCGCACGGGUGCGUAACGCGUGGGAAUCUGCCCUUGGGUCCGGAACAACAGUUAGAAAUGACUGCUAAUACCGGAUGAUGACUUCGGUCCAAAGAUUUAUCGCCCAGGGAUGAGCCCGCGUCGGAUUAGCUAGUUGGUGAGGUAAAGGCUCACCAAGGCGACGAUCCGUAGCUGGUCUGAGAGGAUGAUCAGCCACACUGGGACUGAGACACGGCCCAGACUCCUACGGGAGGCAGCAGUGGGGAAUAUUGGACAAUGGGCGAAAGCCUGAUCCAGCAAUGCCGCGUGAGUGAUGAAGGCCUUAGGGUUGUAAAGCUCUUUUACCCGGGAUGAUAAUGACAGUACCGGGAGAAUAAGCCCCGGCUAACUCCGUGCCAGCCGCCGCCGUAA
rnacentral:rRNA from 1 species